GAUGAACGCUGGCGGCGUGCCUAAUACAUGCAAGUCGAGCGAACAGAUGAGGAGCUUGCUCCUCUGACGUUAGCGGCGGACGGGUGAGUAACACGUGGAUAACCUACCUAUAAGACUGGGAUAACUUCGGGAAACCGGAGCUAAUACCGGAUAAUAUAUUGAACCGCAUGGUUCAAUAGUGAAAGACGGUUUUGCUGUCACUUAUAGAUGGAUCCGCGCCGCAUUAGCUAGUUGGUAAGGUAACGGCUUACCAAGGCAACGAUGCGUAGCCGACCUGAGAGGGUGAUCGGCCACACGGGAAAGGAGACACGGUCCAGACUCCUACGGGAGGCAGCAGUAGGGAAUAUUCGGCAAUGGGCGAAAGCCUGACGGAGCAACGCCGCGUGAGUGAUGAAGGUCUACGGAUCGUAAAACUCUGUUAUUAGGGAAGAACAAAUGUGUAAGUAACUAUGCACGUCUUGACGGUACCUAAUCAGAAAGCCACGGCUAACUACGUG
rnacentral:rRNA from 1 species